UACGUAGGGGGCAAGCGUUGUCCGGAAUCACUGGGCGUAAAGCGCACGUAGGCGGCUUCUUAAGUCAGGGGUGAAAUCCUGGAGCUCAACUCCAGAACUGCCUUUGAUACUGGGAGGCUCGAGUCCGGGAGAGGUGAGUGGAACUGCGAGUGUAGAGGUGAAAUGCGUAGAUAUCAGGAGGAACACCGGUGGCGAAGGCGGCGAUCUGGCCCAACACUGACACUGAGACCCAAAAGCGUGGGGAUCGAAACAGG
rnacentral:rRNA from 1 species